AGGUGUGGAUGAGGAGAAACAUACCAGUAUACAGUUAUCCCUGUCUGAUUUAUUUAGUGCUGAUACCUCUUUUCUGACACUAUG